rnacentral:rRNA from 1 species
CAGUCGCCACGGUAAUACGAAGGGGGCUAGCGUUGUUCGGAAUUACUGGGCGUAAAGCGCACGUAGGCGGAUAUUUAAAUCAGGGGUGAAAUCCCAGAGCUCAACUCUGGAACUGCCUUUGAUACUGGGUAUCUUGAGUUCGGGAGAGGUGAGUGGAACUGCGAGUGUAGAGGUGAAAUUCGUAGAUAUUCGCAAGAACACCAGUGGCGAAGGCGGCUCACUGGCCCGAUACUGACGCUGAGGCACGAAAGCGUGGGGAGCAAACAGGAUUAGAUACCCCCGUAGUCCCUGUCUCUUAUAC